UACGGGGGGGGCAAGCUUGUUCGGAAUUACUGGGCGUAAAGGGCGCGUAGGCGGUCCGCUAAGUUAGAUGUGAAAACUCUGGGCUCAACCCAGAGCCUGCAUCUAAUACUGACGGGCUAGAGUUCUGGAGGGGGUAGCGGAAUUCCUGGUGUAGUGGUGAAAUGCGUAGAUAUCAGGAGGAACACCGGUGGCGAAGGCGGCUACCUGGACAGAAACUGACGCUGAGGCGCGAAAGCUAGGGGAGCAAACAGG
rnacentral:rRNA from 1 species